GAUGAACGCUGGCGGCGUGCCUAAUACAUGCAAGUCGAGCGAACGGACGAGAAGCUUGCUUCUCUGAUGUUAGCGGCGGACGGGUGAGUAACACGUGGAUAACCUACCUAUAAGACUGGGAUAACUUCGGGAAACCGGAGCUAAUACCGGAUGAUAUUUUGAACCGCAUGGUUCAAAAGUGAAAGACGGUCUUGCUGUCACUUAUAGAUGGAUCCGCGCUGCAUUAGCCAGUUGGUAAGGUAACGGCUUACCAAGGCAACGAUGCAUAGCCGACCUGAGAGGGUGAUCGGCCACACUGGAACUGAGGCACGGUCCAGACUCCUACGGGAGGCAGCAGUAGGGAAUCUUCCGCAAUGGGCGAAAGCCUGACGGAGCAACGCCGCGUGAGUGAUGAAGGUCUUCGGAUCGUAAAACUCUGUUAUUAGGGAAGAACAUAUGUGUAAGUAACUGUGCACAUCUUGACGGUACCUAAUCAGAAAGCCACGGCUAACUACGUG
rnacentral:rRNA from 1 species